CCAUAAUACCACAACUGCAAUGGCCUGCCUCAGGACUGUCAUGGAUCAGUCAUAAUCUAUGAAGAACAUAUGAUACACAGUGGACUGACAGAAUGUAUAAGAGGGUGACUACUGGAAUGUCCUCCAGUGUAUCCCACAUCUUUUGUCUACAACAUGUAUAGCUGCUCCAGUGCACUUCUGCUCCAAGCUGGAUCUGUGCGGUAGCAUUAUUUGAAAGAGGAAAAAAAUGGAAGUAAUUUAUACCAGAAGUGUCCAGACAGUGGCAUACAUAUAUCCCCAAUGACAGCAGUAAUGAUAGCAUUGAUUUCAAACAACAAGCAAGCUGUGACAACAUCUUGAGAGUUAUUCGCAUAAACGGAGGCUGCAAGCAGUUGAAUCUAUAGCAGGAAAGACAACUAAAAUACAAAAAAUGCCCUGAUACAGAAAGCUACUUGAAAGCUCCUUGGGGAAACAUACCUUAUGCUGGUGCCAUAUCUCGUUUAGAUCAACUGGGAAAAACAUACUUACCAAAGCUUCUUGAAAGUCAUGUGAAUCAUUGUUUCUCUAUUGUUUCCAUUAAAAGACCACUUGACCUUUUUGAAAAAAGCAUGUGGACAGUCUUGCUCUCCCGGGAUGUUUCUCAUGUACAAUUGAAUAAAUAUUAAGUUAAACUUAGAAUGCUACUUUUUGUUUUACCUACUUUGUUUUCAUGUGAUUGUAUGCAUGCAAAAUAUAAAAAUGGAUUUUUUUAGCUUUUUCCCUGUAUCAUUUUGGGGACCAUCUGCUGAAAUUUGUAAAUAAGUGAUAGAUAUGAAAGAACUUGAAAGAACUAUUGGGGAACUGUCUUGAGUUUUGUGUGUUGUAGACUGAUGCACAAGUGCUGGUGCCUCUGUGUUCAUCAGUCCCUUUUGUAGCAGCACCAUGCAGGAAAAAAGAAUUAUAUCUAUGGGAAAGGAAUCUAGAUUUUAAAUAUCUUCUAAUAGGUUGUUCUUUUUUAGAACGUAUCAGACUGAAGGUACAUAGCUAUGAGAACUCCUUCUGAAAUCUGAAACCUUUGUGCAUGAGCUGCAUGUUUUGUUAAUCCAAUGCCAAUUUAUUCAGGUUAUGUUGAGUACUUUGAACACAACCAAGCCAAACAUGCUUUGUAUCAAUUAAUGUUUUGAAUAUGAUUCUCAUUUUAAAGACAAUUUAUUCACAAGGGUCAAGUCCAAUGAGUUCAUCAAUGCAAUUUCUGAUGAGUUAUUUAAACACUGAGAUUGUUUUCCAGUCCUGAUUAUUAUUGCUUUGAGAAGUCUGCUAUCACUAUAGACUAAUCAUUUUUUUCUUACAAGGAUGUCUUUCAAAAU
rnacentral:lncRNA from 1 species